GCCUUCGUGGUGAAGCUGGUAUACACGCAAGACUUAGAAUCUUGUGGGGAGACCCGUGCGAGUUCGACUCUCGCCGAAGGCA
rnacentral:tRNA from 1 species